UAGCUUUCCUCUGCUAGAACUAGGGCUGUGUAAUAUCAAUUUUGCGAUAUAUAUCGAUAUUUUCUUUCCUAGAAAAAAAUCGAUAUUCAUCCGCAAGUAUCGUAACAUCCAACUG